rnacentral:misc_RNA from 1 species
AAGUCGUAACAAGGUUUCCGUAGGUGAACCUGCGGAAGGAUCAUUAAAAGGGGUCGAAAGACCUAUUUGUUCGAUUGAAACUUUACUACCUCUUCUAUAUAAGACAUGGUAGAGUUUUUCUAAAAUCUAAGAAAAAAUAUCGUCUCUAGACGAAAUCAAAAAUAAAAAUUCCAAAAACUUUCAACAAUGGAUCUCUUGGCUCUC